rnacentral:misc_RNA from 1 species
CAACAGCUAGAAUGGCAAACGUCGCUGCAAGAAAUCGAAAGAUGUCCCAGCACCAAGUUACUUGAUAAACAUUUCAGUGCGAAUCACGUUUUCCGAUUCGCGUGCUUCCCUCUCGGGGUCCGAACUAGUUGCGGCAGCGAAAGAAGUAUUCAUGUGUGCAGUUGUCAUCGUGCUUGAACUUAGCUAGUGAUCCAAGUGCGGCCCGCUCAAACGGAGGGAGGAGCAAACAUUGCCAGUAGUCGGAGGAGACACGAGAACGGCGCGGUUUCAAGGACUCGGAGAUCAGAACGGGGAUCCACGGCCCAUAUUGGGGAUGAUUGCAGCCGCCAAGAUGGACAAGAAACGGGUGUACAAGGUGGUGCUGACGGGAGGUCCCUGCGGUGGUAAAACUACUGGUCAGUCACGACUAUGUACAUUCUUCGAAAAUCUAGGAUGGAAGGUAUUCCGAGUGCCUGAAACGGCCACAGUACUUCUCAGUGGUGGCGUUAAAUUUUCGGAAUUAACAAAGGAAGAAGCAUAUAAAUUCCAGGAGAAUCUGAUUAAAACGAUGAUUCAAAUUGAGAACACAUACUUUGAAUUGGGUCAAGUGUGCAAACGAAAUUGCCUUAUAAUCUGUGACCGAGGUGUGAUGGAUGCAUCAGCCUAUUUAACCAAAGCGCACUGGGAAAAAAUGAUGUCAGCCAAUUCUUGGAACCCAAUCGAACUCAGAGAUAAUAGAUACAAUCAAAUUCUACAUUUGGUUUCUGCUGCUAAUGGUGCUGAAGAAUUUUAUACAAUUGAGGAUCAUGCAUGUCGUUCAGAAGGCGUUGAAUUAGCACGAGAUUUAGAUUACAAAUCGGCUGCUGCAUGGAUCGGGCAUCCGUACUUCGAUGUGAUUGAUAACUCCACCGAUUUUGAGACAAAGAUGAAUCGUCUAAUAGAGUCGGUAUGCCAAAAAUUAGGUAUCGAUGUUGGAGAUCGGUUGAAAACCACAUCAAGGAAACUCAAAUUUUUGGUUGCGGGACCUUUACCACCGGACACAGAAUUCCCGGCGUUCCAAGAUUUCGAUGUUGUGCAUCAUUACCUACAAUCAUCUGGACCAAAGGUGCAAGCCCGACUGCGCAAACGGGGCCAAAAGAACCAUUGGAGUUAUAUACAUACAAUUCGUCGUCCUCACUUGCACGGCCAGUCCGUUGAAGUGAAAACACAGUUAACACAACGUGACUAUAUGAAUUUGUUAACUCAGAGAGAUAAUGCUCAUUUUACCAUCUUCAAAAAACGGAGAUGCUUUUUGGUUAAUAAUCAAUACUUUCAGUUGGACAUAUAUAAAGAGCCAAGCCAUCCAAGGUGUAAAGGCCUGAUCUUGUUGGAGACUUAUUCCUCGCUAACGGGCGAUGCCCUGAACAGCUGCUUGCCAAAGUUCUUAAACAUUGUGAAAAAUGUAACAGGUGAUCCCGAUUAUUCGAUGUUUAAUUUGUCGUUGAGGGAGGAUUGGAGCAACUCGAAGAAAUUCUGCCAUUCAUUGCAUGACGAAGGGGAUGCAAUUGAAAAGAAAACAAAUGGUGUUUCACUUUCAAUAGUAAAUGGUAAAAUGCAAGGCUAGCGAGAAGAAGAGAGUCUAAUCAAAUUGUUAGGAAAAUUUCGAUACACUCGGUACUUAAUAAAAGCGAUUGGUUAUAAAUUGAAAGCAAAAUUAUUAAUUAAAAGAAUUUUAAAUUGUAAGAUAGUUCUACCUAGUAAUUUUACUGUUAAAUAGUGUUAUGUACUUAGUAAAGUGUAAGAUUUUAAAUUAAUGAAGGACUAAUAAAGUGAAUAAUAGUUUAAAA